rnacentral:antisense_RNA from 1 species
UUUUUUUUCCCUCUUAAUUCGAGUUUAGUAAUCUGAAAUGGGCGCGCCUAACAGCAGAGUGAGAGAUCUAAAUUGAGACAGGACUUGGAGGCUCCACCCCUCCCAUCCCCAUUACAAUGGCGCUUCUCGCUGCUGUGGCAAACAUCGCAAAUCCAGGGGGUGAGAAAGCAGUUGCUAAACGCAGGCGGCCCCACCUGGCCCGGCGUCCCGGCUGGCCGCGGAGAACAGAGCGCGCCCACUUCCCCGGCCCACCGGGUUCCUCAGGCUGUUUACACUAGCGCUCUACCAACGAUGCCCAGGGAAAAUGUUAUGAUUUAUCACCUUAAAAAAAAAAAAGAAGAAGAGAACUGGCACUGCAGACGUUAGGUGUUGCUACUUGGAACCCUGAAAAAAAAUUACCUAAGAAGAUGCCUUUAUAUUUUUGCUACAGAAAGAAUUUGGUAGAACUGUAAAGCUUGGAGCAAUCUCUGAACACAAUUAGGGUUGGGGUGGCUCUCCUGUCAGAAUGAAGGCCAGUGGCCGGUGGUGCCCAGGAGUUAUUGAUGCCCAACGCUUUCUGGCUUGUUUGCAGCUCCUCUCUCCUGCUCUCUGGCACUGCCACCAUCUUCAGAUGACUCAGGUUUCACCAUGACUACACCAUAAAAGCAGGGAACUGCCAGAAACUGUUGGAAAACAGACACAUUCAGUCCCUGACAACUUAAACUUUCUAAUUCAUGGAGCGGUUUUAGAUGGUAGCAUUCUAAUAUGGGGCAAAAUGCAAACGGAAAAGAGGUCAGCAAAAAGAUGUCUCAUGACAAAGCUAUGUGCUAAAUAAGGAAAAGUGAGAAAGUAGCACCUAGACAAACUGUGGUUUGGGGAAUCCAGAAACUUGCUUUCCUCCCUUUCCUGUUCCACCCUUUUUCUCCCUGCGGAACAGCUUGCAAAGGUCCUUAUGUCCUUUCCUUCAGGCAGCCUAUCUUUAGUGGCCAACUUCCUGUGCAGGCAGGACUUAGGAAUGGUCAAAAGUGUCUGUGUGGAUCCCUGGGUGCUGACCUGUUCCUGACACAGCUGUUACUACUGGUCUCCUCACCUCCGUUGUUCAGAGAGGAGGACCACGGUCAAGGGUGGGCCAAGCACCAAGGUCUAACUCAGUGCUUCUCACAUGCCAAUGUGUGUGAGAAUCACAUGAAAACAGACUCUGACUUGGCAGGUCUGGAACGAGGACUGGGAUUCUGCUUUACUUUAGCAGACAGUAGGCCAUGGAGACUCUACAAGUGGGGGCAAUUUGGGGGCAAUUUGAUGAGCAAAGGCAAUUAAGAACACAGAAAAUUCUUCUCAAUCUUUCACUUCAUAAAGGUGGAUUAAUAAAUUCAGGUUCAUUCUAGAGGUAGGCAAACAUAAGAGGGACUGCAAAAGAUUAGAUGAUAAUGUUGCCUCCCGAGAAGACUUACAGAAAGGCUUAGAACCACAUUGUAUAAAUCUGUGUGGAUUUUAAAGUGAUGCCACCUUCCUGUUUAUGCCCUCCUUCCCACAAUACACACUUGUCGAAAGGCGUAGUCAUGCAAAAAUUUAGGCAUAUGGAUUUGCAUAGAGAUGAGGCUAUUACAUGCCUGGCACAGAGUAGCUAUUCAAUAAAAAUGUGUUAAAAGGAUUAAUGAAAAAUGUUCAUCUCAGAAGUGGGAUUUUUUAUUAAGAAAAACUGAAAAUGAGGCCAGGCGUGGUGGUUCACACCUGUAAUCCCAGUACUUUGGGAGACCGAGGCGGGUGGAUCACCUAAGGUCACGAGUUCGAGACCAACCUGACCAACAUUGUGAAACCCCAUCUCUACUAAAAAUACAAAAUUAGCCAAGUGUGGAUGGUGGCACAUGCCUGUAAUCCGAGCUACUCAGGAGACUGAGGCAAGAGAAUUGCUUGAACCUGGGCGUUGGAGGUUGCAGUGAGCCGAGAUCGCAGAAUUGCUCUCCAGCCUGGGCAACAAGAGCAAAACUCCGUCUC